UUUCCCUACGGGGGGCAGCAGUGGGGGAUAUUGCACAAUGGGGGAAACCCUGAUGCAGCGACGCCGCGUGUGGGAAGACGGUCCUCUGGAUUGUAAACCACUGUCCCCAGGGACGAAGAUGACGGUACCUGGGGAGGAAGCUCCGGCUAACUACGUGCCAGCAGCCGCGGUAAUACGUAGGUGGCAAGCGUUAUCCGGAUUUACUGGGUGUAAAGGGGGCGCAGACGGCGAUGCAAGCCAGGAGUGAAAGCCCGGGGCCCAACCCCGGGACUGCUCUUGGAACUGCGUGGCUAGAGUGCAGGAGG
rnacentral:rRNA from 1 species